rnacentral:rRNA from 1 species
CCCUUAGAUGUUCUGGGCCGCACGCGCGCUACACUGAUGAAGGCAACGAGUUUAUCAACCUGCACCGGAAGGUGUGGGUAAUCUUUUGAAACUUCAUCGUGCUGGGGAUAGAUUAUUGCAACUAUUAAUCUUCAACGAGGAAUACCUAGUAGGCGCAUGUCAUCAGCGUGCGUCGAUUACGUCCCUGCCCUUUGUACACACCGCCCGUCGCUCCUACCGAUUGAAUGAUCCGGUGAGGCCCCCGGAUUGGGAUCACUGCCUGGUUCUCCAGAAUGAGAUCCUGAGAAGCUGUCCAAACCUUAUCAUUUAGAGGAAGGAGAAGUCGUANCA